UACGUAGGGCGCAAGCGUUGUCCGGAAUUAUUGGGCGUAAAGAGCCCGUAGGCGGCUUGUCACGUCGGGUGUGAAAGCCCGGGGCUUAACCCCGGGUCUGCAUUCGAUACGGGCUAGCUAGAGUGUGGUAGGGGAGAUCGAAUUCCUGGUGUAGCGGUGAAAUGCGCAGAUAUCAGGAGGAACACCGGUGGCGAAGGCGGAUCUCUGGGCCAUUACUGACGCUGAGGAGCGAAAGCGUGGGGAGCGAACAGG
rnacentral:rRNA from 1 species